rnacentral:rRNA from 1 species
AUUGAACGCUGGCGGCAGGCCUAACACAUGCAAGUCGAGCGGAUGAAGGGAGCUUGCUCCUGGAUUCAGCGGCGGACGGGUGAGUAAUGCCUAGGAAUCUGCCUGGUAGUGGGGGAUAACGUCCGGAAACGGGCGCUAAUACCGCAUACGUCCUGAGGGAGAAAGUGGGGGAUCUUCGGACCUCACGCUAUCAGAUGAGCCUAGGUCGGAUUAGCUAGUUGGUGGGGUAAAGGCCUACCAAGGCGACGAUCCGUAACUGGUCGCAGAGGAUGAUCAGUCACACUGCAACUGAGACGCGGUCCACACUCCUACGGGAGGCAGCAGUGGGGAAUAUUGGUCAAUGGGCGAAAGCCGGAUCCGGCCGUGCCGCGUGUGUGAAGAAGGUGUUAUGAUUUUAGAGCACGUUAAGGGGGGAGGAAGAUAAGUAAGGAAAUACCGUGGUCUAUUGGCGUGACCGACAGAAUAAGCGGCGGCUGGCUUGGUC